AUACACAAAUUCUCAAACUAUUCAACAACUUUGCACAAACAUGAGAAACUAUGUAUUCCUAAAAUAGAAUGGUAAAGAGCAGAAUCUUGGUUUCACCUUCCACAAAGCUGACGACCCUUCUUCUCUUAUUAUUGUCUUAACGCAGUCUGCAACUCCUUUAUACCGAGUUCCUGCACCCUGCCAAAAUUCAAAACGAAAAGAGGAGUGGUCAAAACACCAGUGACAGCACCAGCAAAAGCACCAAGCAUUGCAUUCUCUGGAUCAUUUAGAUCUCUCCUUGCCUGUUCUAAACAAUAUGGAUAUCUCAUUGUCAUUAGUCUGCAAAAACAGAUGUUGUUUUAUUUAUCAUUGUAGCAACAAAAACUUACAGCCAACUUGUAUCCAAUCCGUAACUGCUCAUAAACACAAAACUGGAGUGCGUCAAAAGGCAAAUCUCGCAAUAAAAAGGAUCCAUAACCCUGCAUGUUUAGGAACA